GGGACUCCUUAGGGAAGUAUGUUUUGGAUGCUCUGGUGCUUCUUUCCUUUGCUCUUUGGGGCUCCUAAUCGCUUUAGAGAUGUGAUUAUGCUGGGACCAUGGUGUCCUUUACUGCUGCCAGAAAAGCACGCCUCUCACCCUCCUCACAAACAGCACUGCAAUGAUUUCCCUUCUGAGUGCAGUGGGUUUACUUCCACUGUAGUGCAUCAGCCUGUGUCGAAGAUGCUAUGAAAUCCUGCAUACCUCACUGACCUUCUGAGAGGAUAAAAUGCAGAUUUGUUCUGAACAGAUUUCCGCCCGUGUUUUCACAAGGCACAUCCCUUCCUCAGACUGCCUUCCCAACACCCCGUUUCUGCUCUGCACUAGCACAAAUGAAGUAAACCCAAAACCCCUACACCCAAAAGGCAACGGUGAUGCGAUGAGUUUUGUCUGGUCAGCUUGAAGCAGGCCCUGUGCGAGUCCUGUGUCUCUCUCUGUUCCUGGAGCCAUCGUCAGGCCAGGAAGCAAUUCCUGUAAGUAGCUGUGUUAGGGGGACUUUUGGUUUGUUGCAACAAUUUCAAAUGCAGUAUUUCAUGCUACUUCUGUAAAACUAAAUACUUCGAUUUUGAGACUAUCAAAAUACUUUGUUUUGAUCAAAAAUAUCAACAUUCUGAAUUGGAAUUUCCAUUCCAUGGGGAAGAGCAAAAGUUUCAAUUUUUCAUCACCAGCUUACAAGGGGAAAAAAAAAAUCUUCAGGUUUCACAACAGAUAAAAACAUCUUAAUCUCACCAUUUUUCUCUGCACGACAAGGUGACACCUGUAAAAUUACCUAUAGAACAGAGUUGUUUUCCUUCCCCACUUCUCACCAGCACACAGAAAAAGCUGCAGUACUUUGGGGCACUUGAUUUGAGCCAGUCAGCUUUGUGUUCUUAAAGCACUGGAGGUCCAAAAAGGGAAUCUGAGUAAAAGCAGUGUUGUCUUCUGUGAAGCUCUGCCUGCUCCCUUAACCGUGCUGCUGAUGGAGCAGACACCCGCUGCUGGGACUGAGGGCACCUGCAGCUGCCAACAUCAAACCUUCCACGUGAAGGCAGCUCUAGUACAACAGGCAGUUAGAGAGCCUGGACUCAGGAAUUUUACACCCUCUGUUGGUUCUCUUACACCCCAAAUUCUUAUUCCAAGUGUGAUUGGGUUUUGGGGGUUUUUUUUGCUACACGUGGAAAGAUACAGACCACAAUUCAGAGCUGGACAGCCAGUGCUGAAGUACAGUAGUAUAAGAAAGAAGAAUGACUCCCUUAAAUGACAGGGGAGACUGAAAACUGUGAGACACUUCCUACUCCUAUGGCUAAAAGACAAAUGAUUUCAAGAUGAAGCUUUCUCUCAGAUUAUCUGCUGCGAUAAACACUUUUCAGCAAAAAGGUAAUGAGAAAAAGCCGUGCCUAACCCCAGAGGAAAGGAGAGAGACAACAGAGAUCACAUCACGCUAUCGGUAUGCCACCAAACCGGCAAUUGAUGCUAACGACAGACAGACACCGGAGAUAAAAUCGGAGUCACGCAGUGAAGCCUUCCCCUGAAAAGCCUGUGCCUGCCUCUGAUGGAGACCCGGAGCUCUGCUUUCCCUCUGCACCAUAACAACGAAUGUGCAGCUUAUCUCUCCCAGCAAAACGCUGAGCAGGACUGCGGCUUUUUGGCAGAGACAAUGUAGCUGGCAGGAACGACAGUGUGAAAUGAAGAUAAAUGAAGAAUAUGGGCACAUGGAUCCCUAGAAGGAGGCUGGGUUGAUGUUGAUGCAGAUGCAAAUUUCCAGGGCAAAGACAUCUGUCCCCACACAGAGGCUGUUUUUUGGUGGUUUGAUCUUUUGAGUGAAAUGAUCCCUUCAAGGGAAGAUCAGUAAAAUAGAAUUCCACAGUAUUAUGAAGUCACAGCAAGCGAAGAGACAAGUAUAGGCAGGAUGGAACCCACAGGAAUGGAAACGGGAAUGUUUUACCGAGCCUCACCAGUAAGCUGAAAACACCACGAUGAAGUGCCAAGAUGAGGUCUUCACUGCAGCUCUCAAUAAGGUGCUUUGCUUUCUCCUUGUAGAAGCCAGCAGUGAAGCAGUUAGUGGCUGUGGUCUUUCCACUGCCUGGGAGCCAUGGGAGCCUUUGAGAGGUGCAGGAGGGUUCACUUCUCUGAGCUGUAGCUUUGGGGCUUACUUUUGCCACAUGUUUCAGCUGAGAAGCUUAAAAUCUCACUCAUUCAGAUUGUGACAGCUCCACAGCCCUGCAGCUAUGCUUCCGUGAACCUCUGAAACAAUUGCCCAGAGAUCACCCAGGAAUGUUCUUGAACACUGUAAUGGGCACUGAAACCUU